ensembl:miRNA
CUUACUUGGCCUUAUGGUGGCUCUCAGUCUUCUUAGGCAGCAGCACGGCCUGGAUAUUGGGCAAGACACCACCCUGCGCGAUGGUGACUUUGCCCAGCAGCUUGUUGAGCUCUUCAUCGUUGCGGAUAGCCAGCUGGAGAUG